rnacentral:rRNA from 1 species
UGCCUGAUGGAGGGGGAUAACUACUGGAAACGGUAGCUAAUACCGCAUAACGUCACAAGACCAGAGAGGGGGACCUUCUGGCCUCUUGCCUUCACAUGUGCCCAAAUGGGAUUAUCUAGUAGGUGGGGUAAUGGCUCACCUAGGCCACUAUCCCUAGCUGGUCUGAGAGGAUGACCACCCACACUGGAACUGAGACACGAUCCAUACUCCUACGGGAGGCAGCAAUGGGGAAUAUUGCACAAUGGGCGCAAGCCUGAUGCACCCAUGCCGCGUGUGUGAACAACGCCUUCUGGUUGUAUAGCACUUUCAACGAGGAGGAAUGUGGUGAACUUAAUACGUUCAUCACAUUGACGUUACUCGCAGAACAAGCACCGGCUAACUCCGUGCCAGCAGCCGCGGUAAUACGGAGGGUGCAAGCGUUAAUCUGAAUUACUGGGCGUAAAGCGCACGCAGGCGGUUUGUUAAAUCAGAUGUGAAAUCCCCGGGCUCAACCUGGGAACUGCAUUUGAAACUGGCAAGCUAGAGUCUCGUAUAGGGGGGUAUAAUUCCAGGUGUAGCGGUGAAAUGCUUAGAGAUCUGGAGGAAUACCGGUGG